GAUGAACGCUGGCGGUAUGCUUAACACAUGCAAGUCGAACGGACUCUUCGGAGUUAGUGGCGGACGGGUGAGUAACGCGUGAGAAUCUGGCUUUGGGUUCGGGACAACCACUGGAAACGGUGGCUAAUACCGGAUGUGCCGAGAGGUAAAAGAGAAAUUGCCUGAAGAUGAGCUCGCGUCUGAUUAGCUAGUUGGUGAGGUAAAGGCUCACCAAGGCAGCGAUCAGUAGCUGGUCUGAGAGGAUGACCAGCCACACUGGGACUGGGACACGGCCCAGACUCCUACGGGAGGCAGCAGUGGGGAAUUUUCCGCAAUGGGCGAAAGCCUGACGGAGCAAUACCGCGUGAGGGAAGAAGGCUCUUGGGUUGUAAACCUCUCUUCUUAGGGAAGAACAAAAUGACGGUACCUAAGGAAUCAGCAUCGGCUAACUCCGUG
rnacentral:rRNA from 1 species